rnacentral:rRNA from 1 species
CAUGCAGUCGAGCGCGAAUAGGGGCAACCCUUAGUAGAGCGGCGCACGGGUGCGUAACACGUGGAUAAUCUGCCUGGAUGCCUGGGAUAACCAGUCGAAAGAUUGGCUAAUACCGGAUAAGCCCACGGUCUCUUCGGAGGCUGAGGGAAAAGGUGGCCUCUGUAUACAAGCUAUCACAACCAGAUGAGUCCGCGGCCCAUCAGCUAGUUGGCGGGGUAAUGGCCCACCAAGGCGACGACGGGUAGCUGGUCUGAGAGGACGAUCAGCCACACUGGAACUGAGACACGGUCCAGACUCCUACGGGAGGCAGCAGUGGGGAAUUUUGCGCAAUGGGCGAAAGCCUGACGCAGCAACGCCGCGUGUGUGAUGAAGGUCUUUGGAUUGUAAAGCACUUUCGACCGGGACGAAACCGUAAAGCCUAAUACGCUUUGCCUUGACGGUACCGGGAGAAGAAGCACCGGCUAACUCUGUGCCAGCAGCCGCGGUAAUACAGAGGGUGCAAGCGUUGUUCGGAAUUAUUGGGCGUAAAGCGCGUGUAGGCGGCUUUGCAAGUCGGGUGUGAAAGCCCUCAGCUCAACUGAGGAAGUGCGCCCGAAACUGCAGAGCUUGAGUGCCGGAGAGGGUGGCGGAAUUCCCC